GAGUGGGGCCCUGGCACGAAGAGUUCCCGCAUAGCUUGCGGACGACACGAACACUUUGCUCCUGCCACGAUCUCGAAAAUCAUUGGGCAAGCCAACUUCACGCACCAAUCACCGACGGCGCACUCUUCCACGCACCAAUCAGCAACGACCACGCAUUCGGCGGUUGCGAAGCCAUUUCGACAGGGAAAGGAGCUGCAACUUUAACAUGCCUGCCGAGGACAAAAAAAGAAUUGUAAGAAUACCUGACGAAGAAACCGAGCCAGAGUCUGGAGAGAUGGAGAGGUCUGGAAGUCUGGACUAUCUAGCCCCUCUAGAAGAUCCGGAAGAAGAGGCCGAACCAAAGCAGAAAAAAAGGCCCAGAAUGAGCAAAAAAGAAAUACCGAAAUACAAAUGGACAGGGGAGAGGACUAAGAAACUGGCCAAAUUUGUUUUGCAGCACCCCCAGCUGUUCGACAAGAGGCAGAAGGAUUGGCUAAAUCUCACUGCAAAGAACGAGUUAUGGGCCACAGCUGGGGAGGAACAGGACCCCCCUGCCAGCGUAAGCUGCUGCCCAGUGCAAGAAGCAGUAUGAAAACAUGCGUACCAGAGUGGGGAAGAUCAUGAAGAGAGAAGCUAAAAGUGGAUCAGGGCCAGAAGAGAGGGUGUUAGGGACGAUGAAAUAAUGUCCACAUGGCCUUUCCCCUCGUCCAACACAUUGUUCGGGGUAACAACCACCGACGGAUUUCUGGUCCAAGGGUGACUAGGCUGACACCGGGAGGAGGAGGAUGAGGAUUUGUCAUCGACUGGCGGAGAUGUGGUACCUGUUUCCUGGGGGAAAGGAAAUGCAAAAAAAUCCUGGCCUACAUUUGCUGCAUCAUCACAAGCUUCCUCAUCCUCUGUAGCUGCGAGCACACAUACCGACCUCCGGGAAACAUUAUGCAGAUACUGUCUAAAGCAGAUGCCUUGGCCCAAACACCACCUCUUUCUGGGCACAGGAGAAUAGUGCACGACUUCGCCUGUCUCCUGGAGGGACACAUGCAGACCAUCCGGAGGACUCCUGGCAUGACUUCCAGAUUGACUGUCUGAAUUUAGUAGAGAAGUACAAGCCGCAGACUCACAGGCUUCCCAGUCUCAUGGCCGCAGCCACAGACUCCACCUGCGCAAGGGAAGGUGACCAGUGUGCGCCUACCCCCUCAGGACCAGCGCCAGGAAGUUCACGUGGGCAACGGCAUUCUCCAGUGCCUCAAUCCACCAUCUCAGCAAGCUGUUAUCUCCAUCCAAUGGCCCUCAUUCACUCCAGGUUCAGCAUAGCUGUACUGGGUUCUCGCCUUGCACCAAAUAACUGGAACACCGCCCCCCCCCCCAACACUGAGUGUGCAAAAGACAAUUGAGAAUACUACUUUAAAACUUUUUUUUUCCUGAUGUGAAUAUCUUAUCUUCACUUUCACAUAUUGUGAAAUUGUUUUGCAAUCUGUAGUCUUUUAUUUCUGAUUUUACUUGUUUCACUUUCUCAUAAAUACUGACCAUAAAUCUUUUAUUAAAUAACAUUAGAUUUCUUUACAUCACAAAUUUAAAUGUGUUACUAGAUCAUCAUGGUCCACAUCUGUGACCACUCUGGGUGAGGAUGUGAAUCUUCAUGGUCACAUGUCAAUGCCAGCGGGUAUCUGCUGAGGAUGAGGUUGUGUGAAACACAGGUGCACAUGGUUAUCAGGUUGAUCAUCUCUAAGUGCUGUUGGAUUGUAGUAGAGAAACAUCUGAACCUGAAAUUAGAUUACAGAGAUGUUACAUCCACAAUAAACAGAUCUUUAGAUACAUUAACUUGUAAGGAGGAAUGAAAAUGCAAACUGUUUAACCAAUCCAUUACAAUAUAAAUUAUAAAUAAUUAACUCUGAGGCAAGAUUCCAAAUGCGUUCUCACCACAGGAGACAAACUAUAGGUAACUUCUGUGAUUCUGGGAGUGAUUACUUUGUUAACCCCCAAAAUGUGAAUCAGCUGCAAAUCCACAAACCGUUAAUUGCAAAACGUGAAUACUGGAAAAAAAAAAAAAUCUCUCUCAAAACGUGAACACGGGUCUCACAAACGUGAAUGUCACUCAUAAUAAAUAUAUAUAUUCAGUUUAAGUAGUUAUGGAUUUCAGUUUACGGAUCAAUUACUGCAGGAAAUCUUGAUCGCAAACCCUAUCACGCAAAAAUGAUUUUGUUUUUAAUUUUUGGUGGGGUGACUACAGGCCCGGGAGGUGAUCCGAGCAACUCUGGCCUCUGAGUUUGACACCUUCAUUCCUGUUUGACAGCAGGACACGCCCAGGCCGGACGUGUCCUGCUCUGGGGACAGUGUCAGGUGAGGAGUUUGACUGGGACGGUCCACCUGUCAAACAGGAACGAAGGCGUCAAACUCAGAGGACAGAAACCUCCCUCUCCGGUAAACGGCUCAGUCUUAAGAGAAACGUUGUAGAAAAACAAACACUAGUUUCUAACCUCAGGAAGGUAGACAACAAGCUACAAGCUUUUUUUUUGUUUUUUUAAAUCCAUAUGAGCCGUCCUCUGAGCUGGAAGAAUAACAUUGAUAUGAACAAGCAGGCAGCUGUGAAACAGAAGCAUAGGGACCAGGAAGUGGGAGACUAGUCAGAAUUGAGGGACAGAUAGAAACAACAGCUCAGCUGUCAGAUUUCCAGGGAGUGGAAAUGGCCACUGGAGGUGAAUUCCACAUCGUAUCAGAAAGUAAUUUUGUUGUUAACCCACAACGAAUGAGGAGUGCUGGAGCAGUGUGAAUAUCGAUCUAAAGCCCUGGUCACACGGCACUAACGAAGUACACUGAAGCCAAAGUGAAACAGGAAAUCUGGACUUGCGUUGACUUUCGGAGACAUCGUUUAACCGUUGUCCAGCUUCGUUCCUGUAGCUGGCGUUUCAUCAUAAUUUUAAAAUUGUUGAAAAAUGUGAACAA